GCCUGGGUGGCUCAGUCAGUUAAGCGUCUGACUUCGGCUCAGGUCAUGAUCUCGCGGUCCGUGGGUUCGAGCCCUGCGUCGGGCU
rnacentral:tRNA from 1 species